rnacentral:rRNA from 1 species
GACAGAGGGUGCAAACGUUGCUCGGAAUUACUGGGCGUAAAGCGCGUGUAGGCGGACUGGUAAGUCGGACGUGAAAUCCCUGAGCUCAACUCAGGAACUGCAUCCGAAACUAUUAGUCUGGAGUGGUGGAGAGGGAAGCAGAAUUCCUGGUGUAGAGGUGAAAUUCGUAGAUAUCAGGAGGAACACCGGUGGCGAAGGCGGCUUCCUGGACACUAACUGACGC